GCGUGGCCCUCUUGCGCGCGGAAUUCCUCGCGGGUGGCCCCUCCGGGGAUUCUCUUCCUCGGGGGGUGUUCUUUUCCCCCGCGUCUUUUACUGUGAAAAAAUUAGAGUGUUCAAAGCGGGCUUCUAGCACAUGAAUACUUUAGCAUGGAAUAAUAAUAUACCACUAUUGGUCUAUUUUGUUGGUUUGCGGCCGGUUGUAAUGAUAAAUAAGAACAGUUGGGGGUAUUCAUAUUCGGUUGUCAGAGGUGAAAUUCUUGGAUUUACAGAACACGAACUACUGCGAAAGCAUUUUCCAAGGAUGUUUUCUUUAAUCAAGAACGAAAGUUAGGGGAUCGAAGAGGAUUAUAUACCAUCGUAGUGUUAACCAUAAACUAUGCCAGACUAGGGAUUGUGCGGGAUUAACACAAAUUGACUCGCGCAGCGCACUAUGCGAAAGCACAAGUCUUUGGGUUCCGGGGGGAGUAUGAUAGCAAGGGUGAAACUUAAAGGAAUUGACGGAAAGGCACACCAAGGUGUGGAGCCCGCGGGUCAAUUUGACUCAACUCGGGUAACCCUAGUAGGGCAGGACAAAGUAAGGAUUGACAGAUUGAGAGCUCUUUUUUGAUUCUUUGGGUGGUGGUGCAUGGCCGUUCUUAGAGGUGGAGUGAUUUGUUGGGUUAAUUCCGUUAACGAACGAGACCUCGACGUAUUAAUUAGUACCCGCAAGUUCACGCUUCCUCCGCCGACUUACUUGAGGGACUGAUUG
rnacentral:rRNA from 1 species